GACGAACGCUGGCGGCGUGCUUAACACAUGCAAGUCGAACGGGAAGGCCCUGCUUUUGUGGGGUGCUCGAGUGGCGAACGGGUGAGUAACACGUGAGUAACCUGCCCUUGACUUUGGGAUAACUUCAGGAAACUGGGGCUAAUACCGGAUAGGAGCUCCUGCUGCAUGGUGGGGGUUGGAAAGUUUCUGCGGUUGGGGAUGGACUCGCGGCUUAUCAGCUUGUUGGUGGGGUAGUGGCUUACCAAGGCUUUGACGGGUAGCCGGCCUGAGAGGGUGACCGGCCACAUUGGGACUGAGAUACGGCCCAGACUCGUACGGGAGGCAGCAGUGGGGAAUAUUGCACAAUGGGCGGAAGCCUGAUGCAGCAACGCCGCGUGCGGGAUGACGGCCUUCGGGUUGUAAACCGCUUUCGCCUGUGACGAAGCGUGAGUGACGGUAAUGGGUAAAGAAGCACCGGCUAACUACGUG
rnacentral:rRNA from 1 species